CCUACGGGGGCAGCAGUGGGGAAUAUUGCACAAUGGGGGAAACCCUGAUGCAGCGACGCCGCGUGAGUGAAGAAGUAUUUCGGUAUGUAAAGCUCUAUCAGCAGGAACGAGACAAGACGGUACCUGACUAAGAAGCCCCGGCUAACUACGUGCCAGCAGCCGCGGUAAUACGUAGGGGGCAAGCGUUAUCCGGAUUUACUGGGUGUAAAGGGCGUGUAGGCGGGAUGGCAAGUCAGGCGUGAAAACUAUGGGCUCAACCCAUAGCCUGCGUUUGAAACUGUCGUUCUUGAGUGAUGGAGAGGCAA
rnacentral:rRNA from 1 species